GAUGAACGCUGGCGGCGUGCCUAAUACAUGCAAGUCGAACGCUGGAGAUCUAGCUUGCUAGAUCGAAGGAGUGGCGAACGGGUGAGUAAUACAUAAGCAACCUACCCACGAAGACUGGGAUAAUCUCUGGAAACGGGGACUAAUACCGGAUAGGUAAUCGGAAGGCAUCUUCUGGUUAUUAAAGGUUACAAACACUGGUGGAUGGGCUUAUGGCGCAUUAGUUAGUUGGUGAGGUAACGGCCCACCAAGACGAUGAUGCGUAGCCGGCCUGAGAGGGUGAACGGCCACAUUGGGACUGAGACACGGCCCAGACUCCUACGGGAGGCAGCAGUAGGGAAUUGUCGGCAAUGGGGGCAACCCUGACCGAGCAACGCCGCGUGAGUGAAGACGGCCUUCGGGUUGUAAAGCUCUGUUGUAAGGGAAGAACGGUAGAUAGAGAAUAUCUAAGUGACGGUACCUUACCAGAAAGCCACGGCUAACUACGUG
rnacentral:rRNA from 1 species